UCCAUGUAUAUAUCAAGGAUUUAAGUGUCGUGACACGGAGUUGUACCGCAAACUUGCCGGCACGGUAUGGCACGACGCGUGCCAGGCCGUGUCGAUACGUGCCGGUCACAAAAAAUAUGUGCCAAUACGUGCCGAUGCGUGUCGGUCACAAAAAAUAUGUGUGCCGACACGUAAUGGCAUGAAAUAUUUAUUUUCUUUAGCAACAAAAUAUGCCAAUUAUUUAUUAUGUAUUUUUGUCAAAUUGUUUGAACUUUAUUGAGAAAAUUACUUACUAAUUUCAAGAAUAGAGGGUUUGUGUUGUGUCAUCGACACGAG
rnacentral:lncRNA from 1 species